AAACAGACAAACCCUGAAUUUUCGUGUCCAACUUUAACUGUCCGUCUUAUAUGAAUUUUUUUUAUAAUCCAUAUUUUCAUUGUUGUUAGAUGAUAAAACAUGAUUAAUAUUUUAUGUGUGACUUGUCUAUUUAAUUAUUUUCAUAAUUUUUUCAAAUAAGACGGACGGUCAACGUUGGGCACGGAAACCAGGGUUUGUCUUUUC
rfam:Oryza sativa (indica cultivar-group) chromosome 6, whole genome shotgun sequence.